CCACAGCUGCUCCAAGAAAAACAACAGCUGCUCUGACCACAGUUACAACUGGUUAUUCAACCACCACCACAACACCGGCCCCUCCACCACCAGAGGUGAAGUUGGAGUUCAAAUUGGAGCAAAACUUCACAGCAGAUUUGAAUAAUGUUUCUUCACCAGAGUUCAAAGAAUUAGCAAAUACUGUGGCUGCAGCGCUGGAAAAUGUGUACAAAAGUAAAUAUGGAUCCAGUUUCAUUCGCAUAGAAGUUAUAGGUUUCAGUCAAGGUUCAGUUGUGGUAAUCACUAAGCUGGUAUUUAACGAUACCAGCGUAGUCCCUGCGAACAGUGAUGUGGCUGCCACGAUGACAGAGGCAGUUUCAAGCAACAGCUCUAAUUUCUCUCUCCCAGUGAACACAGCCUCCAUUGUGG